rnacentral:rRNA from 1 species
UGGGGAAUAUUGCACAAUGGGCGCAAGCCUGAUGCAGCAACGCCGCGUGAGGGAUGACGGCCUUCGGGUUGUAAACCUCUUUUAGCAGGGAAGAAGCGAAAGUGACGGUACCUGCAGAAAAAGCACCGGCUAACUACGUGCCAGCAGCCGCGGUAAUACGUAGGGUGCAAGCGUUGUCCGGAAUUAUUGGGCGUAAAGAGCUCGUAGGCGGUCUGUCGCGUCUGCUGUGAAAUCCCGAGGCUCAACCUCGGGCCUGCAGUGGGUACGGGCAGACUAGAGUGCGGUAGGGGAGAAUGGAACUCCUGGUGUAGCGGUGGAAUGCGCAGAUAUCAGGAAGAACACCGAUGGCGAAGGCAGUCCUCUGGGCCGUAACUGACGCUGAGGAGCGAAAGCGUGGGGAGCGAACAGGAUUAGAUACCCUGGUAGUCCACGCCGUAAACGUUGGGCGCUAGAUGUGGGGACCAUUCCACGGUUUCCGUGUCGCAGCUAACGCAUUAAGCGCCCCGCCUGGGGAGUACGGCCGCAAGGCUAAAACU